GCCGGUGUAGCUCAGUGGUUAGAGCGAGCGACUCAUAAUCGCUAGGUCACUGGUUCAAAUCCAGUCAUCGGCACCA
rnacentral:tRNA from 1 species